rnacentral:rRNA from 1 species
CGCGUGUACUGGUCCGGCCGGGCCUUUCCCUCUGUGGAACCCCAUGCCCUUCACUGGGUGUGGCGGGGAAACAGGACUUUUACUGUGAAAAAAUUAGAGUGCUCCAGGCAGGCCUAUGCUCGAAUACAUUAGCAUGGAAUAAUAGAAUAGGACGUGUGGUUCUAUUUUGUUGGUUUCUAGGACCGCCGUAAUGAUUAAUAGGGACAGUCGGGGGCAUCAGUAUUCAAUUGUCAGAGGUGAAAUUCUUGGAUUUAUUGAAGACUAACUACUGCGAAAGCAUUUGCCAAGGAUGUUUUCAUUAAUCAGGAACGAAAGUUAGGGGAUCGAAGACGAUCAGAUACCGUCGUAGUCUUAACCAUAAACUAUGCCGACUAGGGAUCGGACGGUGUUAUAUUUUGACCCAUUCGGCACCUUACGAGAAAUCAAAGUGCUUGGGCUCCAGGGGGAGUAUGGUCGCAAGGCUGAAACUUAAAGAAAUUGACGGAAGGGCACCACCAGGGGUGGAGCCUGCGGCUUAAUUUGACUCAACACGGGGAAACUCACCAGGUCCAGACACAAUGAGGAUUGACAGAUUGAGAGCUCUUUCUUGAUUUUGUGGGUGGUGGUGCAUGGCCGUUCUUAGUUGGUGGAGUGAUUUGUCUGCUUAAUUGCGAUAACGAACGAGACCUUAACCUGCUAAAUAGCCCGUAUUGCUUUGGCAGUACGCUGGCUUCUUAGAGGGACUAUCGG